CGCCAGCUGUAUUAUUAAUGAUUACAGCUCACGAAGUGUGGAUAUUACGAUUGGCAUAUCGAUGAAUUGGGUACAAGUCUCCUACAUCGUUGCUUUAGAAUAUUUAACAAAGAAACGUACUUGUUAUAUGUCGAUGACAAUAACUUCAUAUCAUGUCAACUUCUACUGACAGCAGUCGCUAAGUAGUGACCCUGUGUUCCCGCCAAGUCAUCAACAAAAAGAUCAAGAAGAGGUUAUAAUAGCGAUAUAAGAGCAGCAAUUUACUCAGCCUUUGAAAGUGAGUCUGUAAAAAAGGAUACAGUGGAUGGAUUCCUGCUUCAAAUAAGAAAUCAAACCCUUCCAAUAUGCAAGAGACAUCAAUUUGAGA